AAUCCGGGCUAGAAGCGAC
rnacentral:snRNA from 1 species